rnacentral:rRNA from 1 species
UACGUAGGGGGCGAGCGUUGUCCGAAGUUACUGGGCGUAAAGCGCGCGUAGGCGGCUUCUUAAGUCUGGGGUGAAAGGUUCAGUGCUCAACACGAACAGUGCCUUGGAUACUGGGGAGCUUGAAUGUGGCAGAGGAUAGUGGAAUGGCUGGUGUAGCGGUGAAAUGCGUAGAUAUUGGGAAGAACACCUGAGGCGAAGGCGGGUUGCUGGGCUGACACUGACGCUGAGGCGCGAAAGCCAGGGGAGCGAACGGG